rnacentral:rRNA from 1 species
UCGGCUUGCAGUGAGGAAUCUUGCGCAAUGGGGGAAACCCUGACGCAGCAACGCCGCGUGAGUGAGGAAGGCCUUCGGGUCGUAAAGCUCUGUCAGAUGGAAAGAAAUGCAUGAAGGUUAAUACCCUUUAUGUUUGACGGUACCGUCAGAGGAAGCACCGGCUAACUCCGUGCCAGCAGCCGCGGUAAUACGGAGGGUGCGAGCGUUAUUCGGAAUUACUGGGCGUAAAGGGCGUGUAGGCGGCUUUGUAAGUCAGAUGUGAAAGCCCACGGCUUAACCGUGGAACUGCAUUUGAAACUGCUUGGCUAGAGUACGGGAGAGGGUGGCGGAAUUUCCGGUGUAGGAGUGAAAUCCGUAGAUAUCGGGAGGAACACCAGUGGCGAAGGCGGCCACCUGGACCGUAACUGACGCUGAGACGCGAAAGCGUGGGGAGCAAACAGGAUUAGAUACCCGGGUAGUCCAAGCC